UACACAUAAAAGACCCCAGGAUCCGCCGUUUCUCUAAAAAGAAGAUCGAAGGAAAAUCAGCCAUCUUCUUUCAUUUUGAGAAGAGAUCAGCCAAAAAAAGGAGCUAACCUAAGAGAAGAGACUAACGCCUCAGACUUAGACAAAAAGAGGCAACAACUUCUUCUUCAAACAAAAAACGCAGAACCAACUCCAUGGUCUUGUUUAUUUCCUCUUGACAAAAUUAUUGAUUAAUCAAGGUUCAGAUUCAAUUUCAAGGUUCAUUCUCUAUCCUUUCCUUGUUAUUUUUUUCAAAAAAUACUUUUUUUAGUUGGAAUAAUAUCGGAAUUUUGAUUAAGCAUAAGAUGUUUUGCUUUUGACAUCCUUUAUUUAUAAUUAGAUUUCAUUAUUUUUGUGAUUUCUUUAGAUUAUAUUUGUUCAUAUAAUAAUGAUGAAUGACGUAGUAAUUUUUUCUUUGUCUACAAUUUUGAUUUUAUCCCUCAUGGUUACAAUUCACUUUGGUUAGAUUUGUUAGUAUUAAUUGCCUAUAAGAAUUUGAAAGGGAUCGUUGUCUGUUGAGUCAAGUCCUUGAACAAUUAGCCUAUUGGGCUAAAGGAAUAAUUUUGUUUCGUGAGUAAGGUUAAGCUGUAUUUGAUGCCAUAAGCCCAAAAGAAUAAAGACGUCCCUGUCCAUAUUCGUGCAUAUGCUGGCCCAAUUUUGCUCAAACACAUGUAGUUAGCCCACCAUUUCAUGACUAAUUAAUCUAUUUCAUGCUUCCUUAUAAUAAUUCCAUAACUCUUGGCCUUGAAAUAAUCUCGAGUUAACUAAGAAAGGAAAUAUUAUGAACAUCCGUGGUUGGCUUUAGUUAAAUACUUUAUUUUAAAAUAAAUUGAGGCGUGCCAUGCCAAACAAAAAUUUAUAAUCCAUGGUCCUCAGAUAAUUAAUUUUAACUCUUUAGAAAUCAAGGUGCGCCAUUAGUUGAAUCUUCCAUGGCUCUCGCAAACUUGAAAGUCCGUAGUUGCUUUAGGCACACUAUUUUAAAAAUUACCUUUCUAAACUCGGGUGUGCAUUUAUGUGAUCCAAAUCCAAAUCUCAACAACGUUAGAUAAAAUCUGUCGUGGACCGCAUGUGCAUUUAUGUGACGUGGUCCAAGAUGCAUUUUAGGUGACAUUUAAUCUUCCUAAAAAAUAUUUAAAUAAAUGCGGUUAUAAAGUUAAAAUUGAACCAUAUGUUAAAACAUGUAUUAAAAUCAGAUAAUAGUCCAAUUAUAAUAGUUGAGCGACUGUGCUAGAACCACGGAAUCCGGGAAUGCCUAACACCUUCUCUCAGGUUAACAGAAUUCCUUACCCGGAUUUCUGUGUUUGCGGACUGUAAAACAGAGUCAAUCUUUUCCUCGAUUCGGGAUUUGAACUGGUGACUUGGGACACCAUAACAUUAUCUCAAGUGGCGACUCUGAAUUUAAUAAAUAAAUAAUCCCAUUUCGAUUGUCACUUAAAUUGGAAAAAACUCCCUUAUACUCCUUCCGAGGGGGUAGAUAAAAAGGAGGUGUGAAAGCUCUGGCAGUUCUGCUGGGGAAAAAAACCCAGAACUUCUGGUUCAGGGUUCAAGUAUUCAAGCUUAGAAUAAUUGUUAUAAUUGACUUUAUUUAUUAUACUGAUUUUAUUGCAUGUUUGAGCCUAAUGUGCUAAAUGCCGCUUAUUGCCUCUUGUUACCGCUUUGAUAUUAUUUGAAUUGUAUAUAAACUGUUACGAAACCCUUCUCUUUUCAUCUUCAGGGAUGUGCACACUGGCGUGACUCCUCCUUCUGUUAGUGUCAUACCUUGAAAAAAGAAAGAGGCUCGGACAAGUUAUAAANNNN
rnacentral:lncRNA from 1 species